ensembl:snoRNA SNORD26 Small nucleolar RNA SNORD26
CUACAGGAAUGAUUUAAGAAUUGAACUCUUUGUUUCUGAUGGUUUAGUGGAGAAAACAUAAAAGUUCUGUCUGAAUAGC